CCAAAGGCUCUUUUCAGAGCCAUCCAUGUUUUCACAUUUGAGAGCU
rfam:Camelus ferus unplaced genomic scaffold scaffold595, whole genome shotgun sequence.